ACUGACACAACAUGUCUCUCUCCCCUUCAUCUUCCAAAUCGACGACUGUAACCCAACCCACUGCCAAAAUCAAUCUACAAACCGUCCACUGCUUGAGAAACUUCCACGUUUCCACACAUUACCAAUGUCCCGCAGCAACUAUCGCCGGUUUCUCUCAAUCAUCCCUACACCGCGACACCCAACCAACGCAGCGCCAGCGACCAACAAUGGAUCUCGCCGGAAAUUAGGUACAAAUAUUGCCUUUUCCUUUUCUCCUCCACUAAUCCCCGAUUUUUGUCGUUGCUGACAAACUCUUCCACUUCGCAGCCAGGAGAGUUUGCCCAACGACCUUCCUGCUCUGCAACAGAUUGGGUGUUUCUUGUACCAAUUAUAUGGGGCAUAAAGUUGUUGACUAUUUUUGGAGAAUUGUGUGCCAAAAAAAAAACAAAUGGUUUCUGCCAUUGCAGUACAAAUUUGUAUGAAUUCACGUGGGAGGAGUGAUUCCAUGUGAUAAGGACAAAGAAAGGGUAUAUUUGGCAUUUACAAUAAUUUGAAAUCAAAUGAAACCAUAAAAUAUUGCUUGGGCCCUACUUGGAUGUGAUGGAAAGAAUGCAUUUUGCAAAAUAAUGGCUACCAAACAGGGUCCUAUUUGGAAAGUUCAUUAGGAGUUAGAAUUUGUUGGACUUCAAAAGGUUGGGACAGAGACCAGGGAAAAAAUUUGACGCUUUUUCGCUAGCUGACUGCUAACUUAUCACUUGAGCAAUGCCGUUGCAAUAUUGUCCUGAGAGCUGGCGUUCUCCUAGCCCCCAAGCUAUGCCAACGUUGCCUGCCUGGUGCUCAAGCGACAACUUGUCUGGCCCAAGCUUGUAUUCACAUUUUGAGCAGUCAUUUUUAUCUAUAACUCUACUUAAAUACACAAAAUUUUGUAUUCUUUCUCCAUAUUUAGUGAAAUCUCCAUU
rnacentral:lncRNA from 1 species